GAGUUUGAUCCUGGCUCAGAUUGAACGCUGGCGGCAGGCUUAACACAUGCAAGUCGAGCGGUAACAGGGGGUGCUUGCACCCCGCUGACGAGCGGCGGACGGGUGAGUAAUGCAUAGGAAUCUGCCCAGUAGUUGGGGAUAGCCCGGGGAAACCCGGAUUAAUACCGAAUACGCCCUACGGGGGAAAGCAGGGGAUCUUCGGACCUUGCGCUAUUGGAUGAGCCUAUGUCGGAUUAGCUAGUUGGUGGGGUAACGGCCUACCAAGGCGACGAUCCGUAGCUGGUCUGAGAGGAUGAUCAGCCACAUCGGGACUGAGACACGGCCCGAACUCCUACGGGAGGCAGCAGUGGGGAAUAUUGGACAAUGGGGGCAACCCUGAUCCAGCCAUGCCGCGUGUGUGAAGAAGGCUUUCGGGUUGUAAAGCACUUUCAGUGAGGAGGAAAACCUUAAGGUUAAUACCCUUGAGGCUUGACGUUACUCACAGAAGAAGCACCGGCUAACUCCGUGCCAGCAGCCGCGGUAAUACGGAGGGUGCAAGCGUUAAUCGGAAUUACUGGGCGUAAAGCGCGCGUAGGUGGUUCGAUAAGCGAGAUGUGAAAGCCCCGGGCUUAACCUGGGAACGGCAUUUCGAACUGUCGGGCUAGAGUGUGGUAGAGGGUAGUGGAAUUUCCUGUGUAGCGGUGAAAUGCGUAGAUAUAGGAAGGAACACCAGUGGCGAAGGCGGCUACCUGGACCAACACUGACACUGAGGUGCGAAAGCGUGGGGAGCAAACAGGAUUAGAUACCCUGGUAGUCCACGCCGUAAACGAUGUCAACUAGCCGUUGGGGAUCUUGAAUCCUUAGUGGCGCAGCUAACGCACUAAGUUGACCGCCUGGGGAGUACGGCCGCAAGGUUAAAACUCAAAUGAAUUGACGGGGGCCCGCACAAGCGGUGGAGCAUGUGGUUUAAUUCGACGCAACGCGAAGAACCUUACCUGGCCUUGACAUCCUGCGAACUUUCUAGAGAUAGAUUGGUGCCUUCGGGAACGCAGUGACAGGUGCUGCAUGGCCGUCGUCAGCUCGUGUCGUGAGAUGUUGGGUUAAGUCCCGUAACGAGCGCAACCCCUAUCCCUAGUUGCUAGCAGUUCGGCUGAGAACUCUAGGGAGACUGCCGGUGACAAACCGGAGGAAGGUGGGGAUGACGUCAGGUCAUCAUGGCCCUUACGGCCAGGGCUACACACGUGCUACAAUGGCGCGCACAGAGGGCUGCAAACUCGCGAGGGUAAGCCAAUCUCUUAAAACGCGUCGUAGUCCGGAUCGCAGUCUGCAACUCGACUGCGUGAAGUCGGAAUCGCUAGUAAUCGCGAAUCAGAAUGUCGCGGUGAAUACGUUCCCGGGCCUUGUACACACCGCCCGUCACACCAUGGGAGUGGAUUGCACCAGAAAUGGUUAGUCUAACCUUCGGGAGGACGAUCACCACGGUGUGGUUCAUGACUGGGGUGAAGUCGUAACAAGGUAGCCG
rnacentral:rRNA from 1 species